rnacentral:lncRNA from 1 species
GAUCAAAUUAACGACACUGAAAGUGAAAUGUAAAAUCUCCUUCAAUUUUGAAUUUAAGGUGAUGACACAUUUGACAAUACAUUAUCACUUGAAUCAACAUCCAGAAAAUGCUAGUUGUCAAGUCCACAGUUAUUGCAGAUUGACAUAAAAAGUGUUAAGGUGAUGGCAAACAUGAUUAACAUUUGUUUCCAGUCCUUCAUUUGUAGGCCCCCAUCAUCCAUCUUCUUCAGAUUGCUUCCCAAUCGACUUCUUCAUACUGAACAACUGCAGCAAAGAAUAAUAAAAGGAAUAAAGCAGAUUCAUGGUUAAUGCCAAUGCUCAAGGAAUAAUAAAGUUAAAAGAGGAAAUGUGAAAUUAUCAAAUCAAGAGCCGGUAGAGGGUUUACUGCACAAGGACCCUGCAGAGGAAAAGCUUUAUCCCAGAUUAGUAACUAUGGACUAAAUUCCAGGAAUAUAAAAUUUCUAAGCCAGCCAAGGUAACAACACUACGUAAUAAAACGUCACAAAUUAUUCAGGAACAAAAGCUUUCUGACUAGUCUCGUAUUCUCCUCACACAGGUAAAUGAUUUAACUUUUGGAGCCACAAAAAUCAAUGCAACCAUCUUCACCUUCACAAUACAUUAUUAUAGCACAAAUUGAGGAGAGAAUUUAACCAAAUAACCCAAACAACUAACCUAGCUAAAGUUACAUUUGCCAUCCAUUAAUGAUUGAUAAUAAUUAUCCACAACAGCUUCCAUGUGUAAAGGACACAUUAU